rnacentral:rRNA from 1 species
GAUGAACGCUGGCGGCGUGCUUAACACAUGCAAGUCGAACGGUGAACACGGAGCUUUCUCUGUGGGAUCAGUGGCGAACGGGUGAGUAACACGUGAGCAACCUGCCCCUGACUCUGGGAUAAGCGCUGGAAACGGCGUCUAAUACUGGAUAUGUGACGUGACCGCAUGGUCUGCGUUUGGAAAGAUUUUUCGGUUGGGGAUGGGCUCGCGGCCUAUCAGCUUGUUGGUGAGGUAAUGGCUCACCAAGGCGUCGACGGGUAGCCGGCCUGAGAGGGUGACCGGCCACACUGGGACUGAGACACGGCCCAGACUCCUACGGGAGGCAGCAGUGGGGAAUAUUGCACAAUGGGCGCAAGCCUGAUGCAGCAACGCCGCGUGAGGGAUGACGGCCUUCGGGUUGUAAACCUCUUUUAGCAGGGAAGAAGCGAAAGUGACGGUACCUGCAGAAAAAGCGCCGGCUAACUACGUG